UUUAAUUAGUAUAAUUAGUACAUUUAAUUUCCAAUUAAAAAGUUUAAUAAAAAUUAAACA
rnacentral:tRNA from 1 species